CCCACUAUAGUCUAGUGGUAACACACCCGCUCCGACAUGAAACUCGGAAGCGGACCGAUGGGGGUUCGAUUCCCUCAAGUGACA